rnacentral:rRNA from 1 species
AGGGGAAGAAGCCAGCAAUGGUUUGACUGUACCCUAAGAAUAAGGGGUUGCUAAACUCGUGCCAGCAGCAGCGGUAAUACGAGUGCCCCAAGCGUUAUCCGGAAUUACUGGGCGUAAAGGGUGUGUAGGUGGUUUGGUUAGUCUUUCGUUAAAACUCCCGGCUUAACCGGGAAGGUGCGAGGGAAACGGCCAAACUAGAGGGGGUGAGAGGUGUAUGGAACUCAUGGUGUAGGGGUGAAAUCCGUUGAUAUCAU